rnacentral:rRNA from 1 species
CUGAGAGGAUGAUCCGCCACACUGGGACUGAGACACGGCCCAGACUCCUACGGGAGGCAGCAGUGGGGAAUAUUGGACAAUGGGGGGAACCCUGAUCCAGCCAUGCCGCGUGUGUGAAGAAGGCCUUUUGGUUGUAAAGCACUUUAAGCGAGGAGGAGGCUACUCUAGUUAAUACCUAGAGAUAGUGGACGUUACUCGCAGAAUAAGCACCGGCUAACUCUGUGCCAGCAGCCGCGGUAAUACAGAGGGUGCGAGCGUUAAUCGGAUUUACUGGGCGUAAAGCGUGCGUAGGCGGCUUUUUAAGUCGGAUGUGAAAUCCCUGAGCUUAACUUAGGAAUUGCAUUCGAUACUGGGAAGCUAGAGUAUGGGAGAGGAUGGUAGAAUUCCAGGUGUAGCGGUGAAAUGCGUAGAGAUCUGGAGGAAUACCGAUGGCGAAGGCAGCCAUCUGGCCUAAUACUGACGCUGAGGUACGAAAGCAUGGGGAGCAAACAGGAUUAGAUACCCUGGUAGUCCAUGCCGUAAACGAUGUCUACUAGCCGUUGGGGCCUUUGAGGCUUUAGUGGCGCAGCUAACGCGAUAAGUAGACCGCCUGGGGAGUACGG